AUUGAACGCUGGCGGCAGGCCUAACACAUGCAAGUCGAGCGGAGCGGCGGACGGGUGAGUAAUGCCUAGGAAUCUGCAUGGUAGUGGGGGAUAACGUCCGGAAACGGGCGCUAAUACCGCAUACUAUCAGAUGAGCCUAGGUCGGCUUAGCUAGUUGGUGGGGUAAAGGCCUACCAAGGCGACGAUCCGUAACUGGUCUGAGAAGAUGAUCAGUCACGCUGAAACUGGAACACUGUCCAGACUCCUACGGGAGACAGCAGAUGGGAAUAGUUGACAAAGGGCGAAAGCCUGAUCCAGCCAUGCCGCGUGUGUGAAGAAAGUCGACGGAUUGUAAAGCACUUUAAGUUGGUAGGCGUUACCAACAGAAUAAGCACCGGCUGGCUUCGUGCCAGCAGCCGCGGUAAAAC
rnacentral:rRNA from 1 species